rnacentral:rRNA from 1 species
GACGAACGCUGGCGGCAGGCCUAACACAUGCAAGUCGAACGGCAGCACAGAAGAGCUUGCUCUUUGGGUGGCGAGUGGCGGACGGGUGAGUAAUGUCUGGGAAACUGCCCGAUGGAGGGGGAUAACUACUGGAAACGGUAGCUAAUACCGCAUAACGUCGCGAGACCAAAGUGGGGGACCUUCGGGCCCGACACCAUCUGAUGUGCCCAGAUGGGAUUAGCUAGUAGGUGGGGUAAUGGCUCACCUAGGCGACGAUCCCUAGCUGGUCUGAGAGGAUGACAGCCACACUGGAACUGAGACACGGUCCAGACUCCUACGGGAGGCAGCAGUGGGGAAUAUUGCACAAUGGGCGCAAGCCUGAUGCAGCCAUGCCGCGUGUAUGAAGAAGGCCUUCGGGUUGUAAAGUACUUUCAGCGGGGAGGAAGGCGGUGAGGUUAAUAACCUCGCCGAUUGACGUUACCCGCAGAAGAAGCACCGGCUAACUCCGUGCCAGCCGCCGCCGUAA